GUAAGGAAUAUUGGUCAAUGGGGGCAACCCUGAACCAGCCAUGUCGCGUGAAGGAUGAAGGCGUUAUGCGUUGUAAACUUCUUUUGUAUGGGAAGAAUGACAGGGAUUUAUCCUUGGAGAGACGGUACCAUACGAAUAAGCACCGGCUAACUCCGUGCCAGCAGCCGCGGUAAUACGAAGGGUGCAAGCGUUAUCCGGAUUCUUUGGGUUUAAAGGGUGCGUAGGCGGAGCGUUAAGUCAGUGGUGAAAUCCUGCAGCUUAACAGUAGACUUGCCAUGGAUACUGGCGCUCUUUAGUGCGCUUUAAGUGUGCGGAAUGUGACGUGUAGCGGUGAAAUGCUUAGAUAUGACUUGGAACACCGAUAGCGAAGGCAGCUGACUGAGCCUUGAUUGACGCUGAGGUACGAAAGUGUGGGUAGCGAACAGGAUUAGAAACCCGAGUAGUCC
rnacentral:rRNA from 1 species